AUUGAACGCUGGCGGCAGGCCUAACACAUGCAAGUCGAGCGGAUGAAGGGUGCUUGCUCCUGGAUUCAGCGGCGGACGGGUGAAUAAUGCCUAGGAAUCUGCCUGGCUGUGGGGGAUAACGUCCGGACACGGGCGCUAAUACCGCAUACGUCCAGAGGGAGAAAGUGGGGGAUCUUCGGACCUCACGCUAUCAGAUGAGCCUAGGAGGGACUAGCUAGUUGGUGGGGUAAAGGCCUACCAAGGCGACGAUCCGUAGCUGGUCUGAGAGGAUGAUCAGACACACUGGAACGGAGACACGGUCCAGACUCCUACGGGAGGCAGCAGUGGGGAAUAUUGGACAAUGGGCGAAAGCCUGAUCCAGCCAUGCCGCGUGGGUGAAGAAGGACUUCGGAUUGUAAAGCACGUUAAGUGGGGAGGAAGGGCAGUAAGUUAAUACCUUGCUGUUUUGACGGUACCAACAGAAUAAGCACCGGCUAACUUCGUG
rnacentral:rRNA from 1 species